GCCAGAGAUAGCCUGAUCCUGCCCUUCCAGUUCAGUUCUGAAAAACAGCAGGCUCUCCUGCGGCCUAGGCCAGGGCAGGCUACCAGCCACAUCUUCUAUGAGCCAGAUGCUUAUGAUGACCUGGACCAAGAAGACCCAGAUGACGACCUGGAUAUUUGACUGGCCAGAUUUGAUUAGAUUGUAAUUGGAGGGGGCGCGGGAAGACUUUGGGCCCAGAACCAUCUUUCUAUUGUUUGUGUUAGCCUUACCCUGUCCCUGCCCCACCUUGGUUCCCCUUGUCUAUGGAGCCCCGCCUUGUGAGCCAGGAAGCAGCGUCUCAUCAGGACAGAAGGUAGGAUGAAGACAUGGGGUAAUGUGAGAGAGUAGAACACCCCCGUACCUAAUAAAAAUCUUUAUUUUUUUAUU
rnacentral:lncRNA from 1 species